rnacentral:lncRNA from 1 species
UCUAGCCUGUGCCUGGUAAGUAAAACCUGGGUGGUUUUUACUUUCAGUUCCCCAUGUGUGUGUUUUCUUCUCUUUGGUUUUUGGUCAUGUUAUUUUUAAUGCUUUCAGUGAGCUCUUGGUGACUUCUGGCUGGGGAAUCCGCCAUCAGGGGCUAGGUUGGAACUAGUAAUGCCCACCUGGAACCUGCCCGGCCUCCAUUACAGGAACAAGCAACAGCUUAGCAUGGCACCGGAUCCAAUUGUGUCCCCCGCCCUCCCCCUUUUCUCAUUCCUACCCAUCCCAAGCUCAAGACAACCAGGCCCAGUGAAGCCAAGGUUGGGUGAGUUCUCUCAGCUUGCUUUACCUUGGUUCCUUUCUGAAAGGGAUUUAUGUCCAGCCAUUACUUUUCAGUGGCCCACAUGAAUUUUUUUGAGGAAAAAAAGAGGAAAUAUUCUCCCCAGUCAAAUCUCUCACUAUUAUUACAAAAUGCUCCUUGCAGCCACUGUAGCUGAGCAGUCAGGUGACUGAAAAAGAGUUUGCAAGUGAACAUGACUGCCCAGCAAGUCCAAUGGUCCUCUUACACACGUAGAUUGGAAAAUUCAAGCCAGUUCCUGCGGAAUUCGCACCAUUGAGCCCAGAUCCAUCUAGUCCUGCCAGGGGAGGGGAAGAGGUUCUUAUGGGAAGAGGUGACCGAAUUCGUUAUCCCAGGUUCGGCCUGUGGUUUUCAACCUAUCUUCAAAGACCCAUCAUAAAACAGGUUUGGUUUUUUUUUUUCCCUUUCUUUUCUUUCUUCUUUUUUAAAACACAGACCCCUUUUCUCCCAAAGAACAACCUACCUAGUCUUUCCGAACUUCGAAGCCCCAAUUCAAACAGUCUUUGGGAUGCUCAGUGUUUAUUGUUUUAAACUUCCUUCCCCAAAUCCCAAAUCCUCCCAAAUUUCAAGACAGAUCCCUUUAGGGGCUUAUUUCCUGGGGCUGGGAAAGAGGUGUCUGACUCAAUACUGGCUUGAGAGUAAUGGAAUAAAUUUGCCACUGUUUCACCUUGGAUGGGCAAAAGCAGUAGGGAUAUAUUAAUCUCUGAGUUUCUCCCAGCGAUGUGGGGAGCACCAUUACUUUCUGAUAGGGGGAAACCUGUGCUACAGGAAAAGGGCAGGCCCCCUGAAACAAAAUCAGAAAGCCAUUCGCAAAGGGCCAUUCCAGAAGGCCGGAAAAUGAUGAGGCACCAUGGUGGGACUCCAGUGUUCACCGCCCAUCCGAGGGCAGAGAGAAGCCCCUCCGAGGCCACCCCUGCAGAGGCUGCAUUGAGCUGGACCAGGCCCGGGAGUCCGGUUGCCCUAGCUCACCCCUUGGGCCUCCGGCGUGUGCCUAGCCUCACGUCGAGGGUGUAUGUGUGGCUGCCCGGGGAGUGUGUGAGUGUGGUAGAGGGAGGGGGCCCUUCGAGCUGCUCCAUCCGUCCGUUUUAUUAGGGACACAUUAAUCUAUAAUCAAAUACACCUCAUAAAAUUUUUAUUGAAAGGCAUAAUAUCAUUACAGAGGUCUUCCACCUGUUUUAAACAACACGACAAGCUGUGAG